rnacentral:lncRNA from 1 species
UGCUUUUAAACUAUCCCGAAUCAGUCUUACUUUUUCUUCUGUUUCCCGAAUCAAAUCAACUCCGUGUAUCUUCUUUUCACUGAGCUCUGUCCAAUAUAAUGGUGUUCUACAUUUUCUACCAUACAAAGCUUCAUACGGAGCCAUUUUAAUACUGGACUGAUAAUUGUUAUUAUAAGCAAAUUCAAUCAAAGGUAGAUACCUUUCCCAAUUACCUUGAAAUUCUAAUACACAACAUCG